UAUUGGGCAAUGGGCGCAAGCCUGACCCAGCAACGUCGCGUGAAGGAAGAAGGCCGUCGGGUUGUAAACUUCUUUUGUCAGGGACGAAGCAAGUGACGGUACCUGACGAAUAAGCGACGGCUAACUACGUGCCAGCAGCCGCGGUAAUACGUAGGUGGCAAGCGUUAUCCGGAUUUAUUGGGAGUAAAGGGCGUGUAGGCGGGAAAGCAAGUCAGAUGUGAAAACCAUGGGCUCAACCUGUGGCCUGCAUUUGAAACUGUUUUUCUUGAGUACUGGAGAGGCAGACGGAAUUCCUAGUGUAGUGGUGAAAUGCGUAGAUAUUAGGAGGAACACCAGUGGCGAAGGCGGUCUGCUGGACAGCAACUGACGCUGAGGCGCGAAAGCGUGGGGAGCAAACAGG
rnacentral:rRNA from 1 species